GGCUGGUACUACAGCACUCGGACAUCAAUGGAAGCCGAGAAAGCUAAUGGGAACAGAGAGAAGAAAAUGAGCAGAAAAGAGAUGCUGGAAAAGAAGAAACUGGUGGAGGAGAUAAUCAAAGCUGCUUCUUCUGAGAAAGACCAUCUCUCGUGUUUUCCGACAUUUCGCCAAUGCCACAGAAACGGUCUGUCUGUAUACUUGGAGUCCGGACGUGGGAAUAAGCUUUCUUCUCAACUGAAGCAAUAUAUCCAAUGCCUUUUCAAGGAGAAUAUGAAGGGACCAUAUGGAUCAGAGUGGCCAUCUGAAGAGAAGGUCAAGCGCAGGGAAAUGAUUGCUCCAGAAGCACGCUACAUAUUUGUAUAUGAGAUUCCAACUGCUGAUGACAAGGAUAGGGAUACAGCUAAUAGGAUCGAUGACAAGGGUCCAAUUAUUGGAUUUGUGCACUAUCGCUUCCUCAUAGAAGAAGAGAUACCUGUUCUUUAUGUGUACGAAUUGCAGCUUGAGCAACGUGUUCAGGGAAAGGGCCUAGGGGAUUACUUGAUGCAACUAAUUGAGCUUAUUGGUCACAAGAGUAAAAUGGGUGCUGUGGUUUUGACAGUUCAAAAGGCAAACAUUUUAGCUAUGAAGUUUUACACAAGUAAACUUAGGUAUAAAGUGUCUGCUAUUUCGCCAUCCAGAGUGUAUCCAGGGUUAGGACUGCAGACAAAUUAUGAGAUUCUCUGUAAAACAUUUGGUUACGAAGCUAAAGCAAUGCUGGAGGGAAGCGGUACAAAUGAGGAAAACUGAUUAUUGGACAAGCUUGUGUAGCCUUGCAAGUUGUGCUCAUUCUAGAGACUGUAACAGACCCCUCAGCUAGUAAAAGGUUGGUGCAAACUUGAUUUCUUCCUCAUGCCACCCUUCGAAGACGUGGCCUUCAGUUAACUCACUCUUCAGCUUUAUUUCAAGGUUUUAAAUUUCAACUUUAGAGUUAUGCAUUGCGGCUUAAAAGGAUAUAUUUUUAGGAUCCUUAAGUUCAUUUUGGAAGUUGUGGCAACCCUUUGAUAUUUACCUGGUCAUUUUGUAGCAAGAUGCUCCACUGUCCAUCAUUGACCAAGGAUCUUGUUGUAGCCUCUGGCAGGUAUAUCCUGUAAUUCAAGUCCCCAAGCCAAAUCACCCUGCUGUGUAUGAGAACCAGAUAUUUGUAGUUAGAUAUUUCUAUGGGGCACGGACAACUGUUAGCCUUUGAUAUCUUUUCAAGGAAAUGCACCCUUUUAAAUAAAAUUCUAAAAGUUACACCCCCUCUUUGUUUAAGCUAUAGUAGAAUUAAAAAAAAAAAAGAAAAAAGAAAAAAAAGAAGCAUGAGAUAAAUACAAUAUAUAAUCUCACUUUGAAUUGAAGGAAAUAAUAAAAAAGCUGUUUCAUUUCUAGCCUACUAUCCUGAAAAAAAAAAUGUUUAAGGAGAUCAAGUUGUACGGAUGGAGUAAUUUUAAAUAUCACUGAUGUUUUGGAUUUUAAAAAUUGUACCACGAGUUGGAGAUUACAUACUCAUGGUCUACAAUUUUCCUUGGCAAAGCCUGUGAAGGUCCAGAAGGAAACCGGGUGCGUGAUAGUAUUUGGUUUGCAUCUGUAUUUCUGUGUUUCUCAUCUCCUUUGUUUCCUCCUGACGCCAAAUGACUACAGACAAAGCAGAAGGUUGUUUCAUGCAACCGGAAUCUAACUGAUACUGAACCCUGUAAUCAUUAGUGGAAAUCAGUUAAACAAUAAUAAUUAAAAGAAAAAGAAGCAAAUCUAGAUUUUUUAAACUUUAUAAUCUAUACUUUAUUGGAUGUCCUUAUUUGUGCAUACUUUAUGCCAUAUUGCUAUUGGACAGUCAAUGUAGGAUUCAUCACUAGGAAUGAAUAAACUUCUAGAAAUGUUAGAUAAAGUUUUCUCUUAUAUGUUUGCCUCACUUUUUUUAAUUUCAUAUUUUCAAUAUACAGAGUAAAUAUUUCAGCUGAAUUGACUUGGACAUAGGUGGAGACUAUGCCUGAUUAGCGAUUACUGUUUAUUGAGAGUAUGCCUGAAAAUUUAUCUGUCUAGUUUUAUUUGUUACUCUCUAAUUGUUGGUACCUUGUUUCUGAUGCGUCCAAAUAUACCACAGCCUACACAUGAGACAUCUAUAUGGUUGAUAUAGUGGUGGAUUUGAGUUCUUGCCCAGAUAGUAACAAAAACGCCCACCAUCUGUUUGCUUGCUAUGCAUUCAAAAGCUGCUGCUGCUGAGUUAAAGUAGGCAUCUCUGUGGAGAGGGCAAACCUUUUGACACUCUCCUGCUUCUGCCUUCUGUAUUGUGAUGGUACUGCUGGCUCUCUUGUUGAGUGCCGAUCUUAUCAGAGAAUUCCAUUUAUAUGAUACACUUGAAUUCUCUGAAACUAUUAUGCUUCCAGCAUUCAGGGGCACGAUUUCUUGAAACCUGAUAGUAAUGUGUUGUUGGAUUUAGCAUUUGUUAUAUAUCAAACUCAUUGAUCUAGGUUGUUUGGUUGAGUGGAAUGGUUUUCCAUUGACUUUUGAGUCGAUAAUAUAAUUAGUGUUUAAAUGUUUGUAGAAGUUGAAGAAUACCCGAGAACAUAGAUAUCAGCUGUGUUCUUCUGAAUGUUGAGCAGAUCUCCCAUGUCAAAGUCAUCUGGCGGUUCAAUUCCCCCCACAUUCCAUGAGCUCACAAACAAACUUCAAAAAAAAAAAAGAAAAGAAAGAUUGAUCAAGAACCGAUGUGGAGUGAAUGAAUGUAAGGAAGCAGAACCGCUUACUCAAAACUCUGGGUUUCAGAUGAAUCGUCGGACGCAAUAACAAUGCUUUCAUCCGGCCUCUUGAGGAUAGUUUUAGCUGGUAAAGUACCCCACAUGACCUUGAAGCUAAUUACUAUAAGAUAGUCAAAAGGAAGAAAGGGAGGGAGGAAAGAGUUUACUUCAUCCUGUGGUUGGUAGGGGAAGUUAAAUAGUUGAGAAAAAGGAAGCUGAGCAAGAACAGAACAAGUUGUGAGGGAAGCCGCAGAUGUCAACUAUAAACGUGCCUUUGGUGUACAACAUGCGGUGUUGGGCAAGGGCACAGAGAAUUCUCCUCAGAGGGUUUGUCCCAUCGGUUCUCCAUCUAUUAGCCAUCUUUGCGAUCGAAUUGGUCUGCAAAUGUGUUCUGCUCCUUAUAAACAUGACAAAUGUUGACCUCCCAAUCCCUCUCCAUAAGCUCUCUACACUUUGCAAUUACAUUUUUCCUUCUUAAAAUAGGUUGGAAUUCUCAACUUAGAUUUUAAGCUACUGGGAUAAGUCGAUUCCACAUUUAUUUAUACACCAAAAGUAGUGAUAUGAGCAAUUGAGGACCUUCGA